GCCGCGGUAGCUCAGCCUGGGAGAGCGCGGGACUGUGGGCUCCUAAUACUAGAAGCCGGCCGGGGGGUAGAUAUCCCGAGGUCCCGGGUUCAAAUCCCGGCCGCGGCC
rnacentral:tRNA from 1 species